GCACCGCCGGCACCGUUGACUCGUCCGGUCCAGUCUAGGGGGAAACCUGCCUUGAUGCGCCCUCCAUCGCAGGGGCUGGAACCACGGCACCGGUCCAAGUCCCGAAGCAGGUCCCCACGCCGCUCGCAGUCCUGGCGCCGGAUAUCACCUCGGCACCGGUCGUACUCGCGGCCAAGAUCUUCGUCGCGGCACCGCUCUACGUCUCGGCACCGUUAUGAUCGUCGGCACCGAUCAACAUCGAGACGUAGUUCUCGGCACCGCCACGAUCGACGCUCGACGUCGAGAGGCCGCUCCCGGCACCGGGCCUACUUCAGGUCAUCGUCGAGGUCCAGAUCCGACUCCCGGCACCGGCGAGGUCAUCGGCACCGGUCGCGAUCCCGGCACCGAUCGCCAGCACCGCGUGGAGAUAGAACAUCUCCGGACCGGCACCGUGCGGCACCGCAGCCCACGGGAUUCGUCUCGGCGCACUCGGCACCGCCAUGGCCAUCGAGAUCGGUGUCUCGCUCCUCUGAGGACUUAUCGAGAUCGGCAUACCCCCCUCAGGGGCAAGCCGAGGAGCAGGACAUAGGCCGUUGGCAGGAGAUAGCAGAGGACCCUGCUCAUGGCCCAUCUCACUGGUCGUUCUGGACCCCGUGGGCGUACCAUCAGGCGCAAGGGGCUCCAAUAACUUCGACCUCUCGCUCGGGCCACUCCGUUAGAAGGGCCCCGGAGUCCACCAUCUCUCAGCCUCCGCCAGGGGGCAUGGAGGCUUCCAUGUCCGCACCACCUGACGUCCUGGACCCAAGCGCAGGUGAUGCUCCGGCCCAGGAGCAGGGAGACCAGGACCCUCCCUUGGAUCCUUUACCACCGGAGGCAUCUUCCUUUUCCUCUCCGGAUGAGGCAGUGGCGGGCACAUCGUGCACAGGUCCGCCCCCGAUAGAUCUUCGGGCUCACCAGGACCUCCUACGUAGGGUGGCCCGUAAUAUGGACCUGCAGGCGGAGGAGAUAGUGGAGUGGCAGGACCCCAUCGUGAAUAUCCUCGCGGCGGAUGCCCCAUCGAGAGUGGCGUUACCCCUGAUCCGCACGAUCCAGGCGAAUGCAAAUACGAUAUGGCAAACUCCUGCCUCCAUCCCACCCACAGCGAGAGGGGUGGAAAGAAAGUACUUUGUCCCCUCCAAAGACUACGAGUACUCGUAUCCCCAUCCCCAGCCGUGUUCACUGGUGGUGGCAUCAGUGAAUGCAAGGGAGCGCCACGGUCAACAGGCCGCAGCGCCCAAAUCGAAGGAGGCUAAGCGCCUCGAUUUGUUUNNNNNNNNNNNNNNNNNNNNNNNN
rnacentral:lncRNA from 1 species